rnacentral:rRNA from 1 species
UACGAAGGGGGCUAGCGUUGUUCGGAAUUACUGGGCGUAAAGCGCACGUAGGCGGCUUUUUAAGUCGGAGGUGAAAUCCUGGAGCUCAACUCCAGAACUGCCUUCGAUACUGGAGAGCUUGAGUCCGGGAGAGGUGAGUGGAACUGCGAGUGUAGAGGUGAAAUUCGUAGAUAUUCGCAAGAACACCAGUGGCGAAGGCGGCUCACUGGCCCGGUACUGACGCUGAGGUGCGAAAGCGUGGGGAGCAAACAGG